rnacentral:rRNA from 2 species
GAUGAACGCUGGCGGCGCGCCUAACACAUGCAAGUCGAACGGUUAAAGCACCUUUUAGGUGUGUAUAAAGUGGCGAACGGCUGAGUAACACGUGGGCAACCUGCCCUCCUCUUGGGGAUAGCCUCGGGAAACCGAGGAUAAUACCCGAUACUUCAAUGUGGCCGCAUGACGACAUUGAGAAAGCUUUUGCGGAGAAGGAUGGGCCCGCGGCCUGUUAGCUUGUUGGUGGGGUAGAGGCCUACCAAGGCAAUGAUGGGUAGCUGGGUUGAGAGACCGACCAGCCAGAUUGGGACUGAGACACGGCCCAGACUCCUACGGGAGGCAGCAGUGGGGAAUCUUGCACAAUGGGCGAAAGCCUGAUGCAGCGACGCCGCGUGCGGGAAGAAGGCCUUCGGGUUGUAAACCGCUUUCAGCAGGGACGAGGCGAAAGUGACGGUACCUGCA